UAAAAGUAAAACUCUAGUGACUAAUAAAGCAAAAGAAAAAUCUUUGAAAGAAGCAGAAAAACCAUCAUAUUCCUUUCCUGCUGCCAAAUCUACUAUCCAAACUUAUAAUCAUAAACCAUGGAUUAUAUCAGAUUAUGAACCUGGUUACUCUUCUAUAGCCAAUAAUGAAAAUUCAUA